ACAUCCAGAGAAUUUAGCAGAGAUGCUUUAGUGCCUUCGGGAACUCUGAGACAGGUGCUGCAUGGCUGUCGUCAGCUCGUGUUGUGAAAUGUUGGGUUAAGUCCCGNAACGAGCGCAACCCUUUAUCCUUUGUUGCCAGCGCGUAAUGGCGGGAACUCAAAGGAGACUGCCGGUGAUAAACCGGAGGAAGGUGGGGAUGACGUCAAGUCAUCAUGGCCCUUACGAGUAGGGCUACACACGUGCUACAAUGGCGCAUACAAAGAGAAGCGACCUCGCGAGAGCAAGCGGACCUCAUAAAGUGCGUCGUAGUCCGGAUUGGAGUCUGCAACUCGACUCCAUGAAGUCGGAAUCGCUAGUAAUCGUAAAUCAGAAUGUUACGGUGAAUACGUUCCCGGGCCUUGUACACACCGCCCGUCACACCAUGGGAGUGGGUUGCAAAAGAAGUAGAUAGCUUAACCUUCGGGAGGGCGUUUACCACUUUGUGAUUCAUGACUGGGGUGAAGUCGUAACAAGGUAAGCGUAGCGAG
rnacentral:rRNA from 1 species